rnacentral:lncRNA from 1 species
AGAGGAUCUGCUUCAUAUAGAAGAAGAAAGAAACCUUGGAUCAGGCAGAUUCAUAGCUGAAUUUUGCUAAACGUAUAAAGAAGAGCUGGUACCAAUCCUACUGAAACUAUUGCAAGAAAGCUGAGGAAGAGAGACUCCUCCCUAACUCAUUCUACGAGGCCAGCAUCAUUCUGAUACCAAAAUGUGGCAGAGACAAAAUGAAAAAGAAAGCUUCAGACCAAUAUCUCUGAUGGACAUAAAUGCAAAAAUUCUCAAUAAAAGACUUGCAGACCAAAUGCAGC